rnacentral:rRNA from 1 species
CUUAAAGGAAUUGACGGGGGCCCGCACAAGCAGCGGAGCGUGUGGUUUAAUUCGAUGCUACACGAAGAACCUUACCUGGGUUUGACAUGCAAGUGGUAGGGAACUGAAAGGGGACCGACCCUUCGGGGAGCUUGCACAGGUGCUGCAUGGCUGUCGUCAGCUCGCGUCGUGAGAUGUCCGGUUAAGUCCGGUAACGAGCGCAACCCUUGCUGUAUGUUACAAGUGUCAUACGGGACUGCCGGUAUAAAGCCGGAGGAAGGUGGGGAUGACGUCAAGUCAGCAUGGCCUUUAUAUCCAGGGCUACACACACGCUACAAUGGUCAGGACAAUGGGUCGCAAAGCCGCGAGGUGGAGCCAAUCCUGAAACUUGGCCACAGUUCAGAUUGCAGGCUGCAACCCGCCUGCAUGAAGCCGGAGUUGCUAGUAACCGCGCGUCAGCUAUAGUGCGGUGAAUACGUUCCCGGGCCUUGUACACACCGCCCGUCACGUCAUGGGAGCUGGCAACACCUGAAGCCGG